CGUCUAUAUACGUAUAGCAUAUCAAUAAGCGGAGGAAAAGAAACUAACUAGGAUUCCCUCAGUAACGGCGAGUGAAGCGGGAAGAGCUCAAAUUUGAAAUCUUCAAGGUUCUACCUUGACGAAUUGUAGUUUAAAGAAGUGUUUUCUGUUGGUGUUUUGGUAAAAGUUCUUUGGAAUAGGACAUCAUAGAGGGUGAGAAUCCCGUAUUUGACCAUUACUUUCCAGCGUUGUGAUACACUUUCAAAGAGUCGGAUUGUUUGGGAAUGCAGUCCAAAAUGGGUGGUAAAUUUCAUCUAAAGCUAAAUAUUGGCGAGAGACCGAUAGCGAACAAGUACCGUGAGGGAAAGAUGAAAAGAACUUUGAAAAGAGAGUUAAACAGUACGUGAGAUUGUCAAAAGGGAAGCGUUUGACACCAGUGUUGUUUUCUCGAAAAUCAAUUAAAAAAGGCAGGAUUUUGUGUUGUAUUGACUUUAUCAGCUUUCCUGCACUCUUUUCUUGUCUUUUUUAAUGCACUUUUCGUUUAACAAGUCAACAUCAAUUUCUUUUGUUGUAAAAGGGUCAUUGGAAGGUGGCUUUCUUUUCGGAGAAAGUGUUUAUAGCCUUUGGCCUCUGCAAUCGGAGAGAUUGAGGUCUGCAGCGUAGAUCCUUCGGGGUUAGAUACAUUUGUGCUAAGUUAUAGCCUUUCAUAGACAACUUGUUGACUAUGAUCAGUCAUGUAGCUUACUCGCUUAUGCUAUUUUACCUACGCUUAGGAUGUUGAAGUCAUCGUAUCGCGC
rnacentral:rRNA from 1 species